ensembl:rRNA 5S_rRNA 5S ribosomal RNA
GUCUAUGGUCAUGCUACCCUGAACAAGCCCGAUUCCAUAUAAUCUCAGAAACUAAGCAUGAUUGGGCCUGGUUAGUACUUGGAUGGGAAACCAUCUAGGAAGACCAGGUGCUGUAGGCG